rnacentral:rRNA from 1 species
CGGCGAGUGGCGAACGGGUGAGUAUAGCAUCGGAACGUGCCAAGUAGUGGGGGAUAACCAAACGAAAGUUUGGCUAAUACCGCGUAAGCUCCAAGGAGGAAAGUAGGGGACCUAAAUAAGGCCUUACGCUAUUUGAUCGGCCGAUGUCGGAUUAGCUAGUUGGUGGGGUAAUGGCUCACCAAGGCAAUGGUCCGUAGCAGGUCUGAGAGGACGAUCCGCCACACUGGGACUGAGACACGGCCCAG